CGGAGGAUGCAAGCGUUAUCCGGAUUCAUUGGGUUUAAAGGGUGCGUAGGCGGCUUUUUAAGUCAGUGGUGAAAUCCUGCCGCUUAACGGUAGAAUUGCCAUUGAUACUGAAGAGCUUGAGUACAGUUGAGGUAAGCGGAAUGUGUAGUGUAGCGGUGAAAUGCUUAGAUAUUACACAGAACACCAAUUGCGAAGGCAGCUUACUAAACUGUCACUGACGCUGAUGCACGAAAGCGUGGGGAGCGAACAGGAUUAGAUACCCUGGUAGUCCACGCCGUAAACGAUGAUCACUCGCUGUAUGCGAUACACAGUAUGCAGCCAAGCGAAAGCAUUAAGUGAUCCACCUGGGGAGUACGAUCGCAAGGUUG
rnacentral:rRNA from 1 species